UUCCAGUUAAUGUUGUGAAACUGUGGCAAAAGCCAUGGAAUUAACGUAAACCUGAGCUUUAUGUGUAAAUAUAUUAUGUUGAUAGGGCUGAUUCGUCCAUUAUAUUGGAUCUGAUAACAGGGACUAAGACAAGUCAACAUGGCCUUGAUAUUGUGGGCUAAAGACGUGCCACAUAUUCCUAAACAAAGAGAUGCGCAAAUGCGAAUCUUAGCUAAUCUCAACAGAUAGGAUAACAAAGAUAUGGAUUGUAGCCUGAAAUUCGGCUGCAUGAAUAAGAAAUUGCUAGUAAUCGUGAAUCACUAUGUCACGGUGAAUAUAACCUUGGAUUGGUACUAACCACUCGUCACAUGCUGAAACGAGUACGUGCAAUAAGUUUGCUUCCUUAUUUUCAUCCAGCGAAUCAUAAGAUUCGGGUUUGCUUAUAGGAUUCGUCGUAUGCGCGAUUCUAAUUGGUGUUAAGUCGAAAUACGGUUCGUGUAGUGGAAGUUGCACGGGAUUGAUUAACCUUUAACAAGAUAAUAUGCUGUAUA
rnacentral:rRNA from 1 species